rnacentral:rRNA from 1 species
GACGAACGCUGGCGGCGUGCUUAACACAUGCAAGUCGUACGGUAAGGCCCUUUCGUGGGUACACGAGUGGCGAACGGGUGAGUAACACGUGAGUAACCUGCCCACAACUUUGGGAUAACGCUAGGAAACUGGUGCUAAUACUGGAUAUGUGCUCCUGCUGCAUGGUGGGGGUUGGAAAGCUCCGGCGGUUUUGGAUGUACUCGCGGCCUAUCAGCUUGUUGGUGGGGUAGUGGCCUACCAAGGCGGCGACGGGUAGCCGGCCUGAGAGGGUGACCGGCCACAGUGGGACUGAGAUACGGCCCAGACUCCUACGGGAGGCAGCAGUGGGGAAUAUUGCACAAUGGGCGCAAGCCUGAUGCAGCAACGCCGCGUGCGGGAUGACGGCCUUCGGGUUGUAAACCGAUUUCAGCAGGGACGAAGCUUUUUGUGACGGUACCUGCAGAAGAAGCACCGGCUAACUACGUG